AUGGAUGUAUUUAGAUGUAUUUUAGUUCUAGAUACAUCCAUUUUCAUCAAUUUUGAUGACAAGUAUUUUCGGACGGAGGGAGUAAAAAAAAGAACAGGCUUCAGCAACAAAUCCAGCAUGUAUUGUAUAUUGCCGAUCGAGGGCAGGGACACGAGCACAGAGGAAGAGAAGUCGGGAGAAAAUAAGAUCGCCAACUCUCUACGGCUAAACCAAGAACAAACGACUUCUCCGAUCACCAAAUCUUGGCGUGGACGGCAACAUCCUGUCCGGCGUCGCCGCCGUCGGCCUCGUCCCCGGCGAUCUGGUCGAGCACGAGGACGAUCCCCAUGGCGAAGGCCGCAUCGAAGCCGGCGCCCACCCGCAGCACGAACACGUCCCUGCCCAUCACCACCCGUGCCGCCUCGUCCACCUUCCUCCUGAUCUCGGCCACCACCGUCUCCUCCCCGUCCUCGCCCUUGGCCACCACGCGGCAGCAGCGCCGUCCGAAGGAGCCCUCGAUGCGGAGCUCGGCGGCAGCGGCGGAGGCGGGGGAAGGGAGGAGCUCGACGACGGCGCCGCGCCCGGCGCCGCCGAGAAUGGAGGACCUACGGGCGGAGAAGAGGGACUUCUGGCCGUCGGCGCGGGCGCCGAGGAAGCCCUCCCAGCGCUGGUGCAGGGACGGGCGGCGGCGGCGCACGGUGAGGAGGGGCUCGCCGGCGGGGCCGAGGAGAGCCAGCUCGCCCGGGGACGCAGCGCCCCCUCCGUGGCCGCGGCCGUAGGUGUCGGCGCGGAAGGCGAGGCCGCCGGUGCGGUUGUCGUAGGCCGCGAAGCCGUCGCCGGGGGAGAAGUGGGAGGUCUUGCGCACCGUGAGCAGCCGCUCCUUGAGGUCGCAGUACUCCUCGCCCACGACCGCCAU
rnacentral:rRNA from 1 species